GUGUGCGAGUCAUUGGGUAUAUUGUUGAAACCUAAGGGCGCAAUUAAAAUAACUAUUUUAUGGGAUUACAAGUGAAUUAAAUUUCAUUUCUUCAUCCCGGGGCGUUCUAUACGAACAUGGUCCAAGCAAUUGAACCCUCUGUUCAAGAGCGUACCUUGAGCAUACAUGCUGUGACCCGAAAGAUGGUGAACUAUACCUGAUCAGAUCGAAGCCAGGAGAAAUUCUGGUGGAGGAUCGAAACAGUUCUGACGUGCAAAUCGAUUGUCAGAAUUGGGUAUAGGGGCGAAAGACCAAUCGAACCAUCUAGUAGCUGGUUCCCUCCGAAGUUUCCCUCAGGAUAGCUGGCGCAAAGAAUUAUAUUGUAUAUAAUCUUAUCUGGUAAAGCGAAUGAUUAGAGGCCUUGGGGCCGAAACGACCUCAACCUAUUCUCAAACUUUAAAUGGGUAAGAACCUCAUCUUUCUUGAUCUGAAGAUAUUGGGGUUUAGAUAUAUUGUGCCCAGUGGGCCACUUUUGGUAAGCAGAACUGGCGCUGUGGGAUGAACCAAACAUGAUGUUACGGCGCCUAAAUUAAUGACUCAUAUUGAUACCAUGAAAGGCGUUGGUUGCUUAAAACAGCAGGACGGUGGACAUGGAAGUCGUAAUCCGCUAAGGAGUGUGUAACAACUCACCUGCCGAAGCAACUAGCCCUUAAAAUGGAUGGCGCUCAAGUCAUAUGCCUAUACAUCAUCGCUAGAAUAAAAAUUGUUGGCCAUUCGGUCAUCAUUGUGAAAUUCUAGUGAGUAGGAGGGUACAAUGGUGUGCGCCGAAGUGUUUGGCGUGAGCCUGCAUGAAGCCGCCAUUGGCACAGAUCUUGGUGGUAGUAGCAAAUAAUCGAAUGAGAUCUUGGAGGACUGAAGUGGAGAAGGGUUUCGUGUGAACAGUGGUUGAUCACGAGUUAGUCGGUCCUAAGCUUUAUGCGAAAGCUGUUUAAUUUAUGUUACACACAAAUCUUUUGUUGUACAUAAUUCAAUAAAAGCGAAAGGGAAUACGGUUCCAAUUCCGUAACCUGUUGAGUAUACGUUUGUUUAUUAAAAAUGGGUCUUAUUACACUCAUCCUGGCAACAGGAACGACCAUAGAGAAGCCUUCGAGAGAUACUGGAAGAGUUUUCUUUUCUGCUAAACAAACGUACCACCAUGGAAGUCUUUUAUAGAGAGAUAUGGUGGAUGGCUUGGAAGAGCAUGACAUUUACUGUUGUGUCAGUAUUUUCUCCUUGGACCUUGAAAAUCUAUGGUGGGGCCACGCAAACUUCUCAACAGACCGUACCGAUAUCCGCAGCCGGUCUCCAAGGUGAAGAGUCUCUAGUCGA
rnacentral:rRNA from 1 species